rnacentral:rRNA from 1 species
GAUGAACGCUGGCGGCGUGCCUAAUACAUGCAAGUCGAGCGAACAGACGAGGAGCUUGCUCCUCUGACGUUAGCGGCGGACGGGUGAGUAACACGUGGAUAACCUACCUAUAAGACUGGGAUAACUUCGGGAAACCGGAGCUAAUACCGGAUAAUAUCUUGAACCGCAUGGUUCAAUAGUGAAAGACGGUUUUGCUGUCACUUAUAGAUGGAUCCGCGCCGCAUUAGCUAGUUGGUAAGGUAACGGCUUACCAAGGCGACGAUGCGUAGCCGACCUGAGAGGGUGAUCGGCCACACUGGAACUGAGACACGGUCCAGACUCCUACGGGAGGCAGCAGUAGGGAAUCUUCCGCAAUGGGCGAAAGCUUGACGGAGCAACGCCGCGUGAGUGAUGAAGGUCUUCGGAUCGUAAAACUCUGUUAUUAGGGAAGAACAAAUGUGUAAGUAACUAUGCACGUCUUGACGGUACCUAAUCAGAAAGCCACGGCUAACUACGUG